GACGAACGCUGGCGGCGUGCCUAACACAUGCAAGUCGAGCGGAGCGGCGGACGGGUGAGUAAUGCCUAGGAAUAUGCCUGGUCGUGGGGGAUAACGUCCGGAUACGGGAGCUAAUACCGCAUACUAUCAGAUGAGCCUAGGUCGGAUUAGCUAGGUGGUGGGGUAAAGGCCUACCGAGGCGACGAUCCGUAACUGGUCUGAGAGGAUGAUCAGUCACACGGGAACUGCGACACGGACAAGAGGCCGACGGGAGGCAGCAGUGGGGAAGAUGGGACAAUGGGCGAAAGGCUGAACCAGCCAUGCAGCGUGUGGGAAGAAGGGCUUCGGAUUGUAAAGCACUUUAAGUUGGGAGGCGGUACCUGCAGAAUAAGCACCGGCUAACUACGUGCCAGCAGCCGCGGUAAUAC
rnacentral:rRNA from 1 species